rnacentral:tRNA from 1 species
GCGAGGGUUUCCGAGCCAGGUCAAAGGAGCGGGAUUUAGGGUCCCGUCCCGCAGGGGUUCGUGCGUUCGAAUCGCACCCCUCGCA